GAUGAACGCUGGCGGCGUGCUUAACACAUGCAAGUCGAACGGUGAACACGGAGCUUGCUCUGUGGGAUCAGUGGCGAACGGGUGAGUAACACGUGAGCAACCUGCCCCUGACUCUGGGAUAAGCGCUGGAAACGGCGUCUAAUACUGGAUAUGUGACGUGAUCGCAUGGUCUGCGUCUGGAAAGAAUUUCGGUUGGGGAUGGGCUCGCGGCCUAUCAGCUUGUUGGUGAGGUAAUGGCUCACCAAGGCGUCGACGGGUAGCCGGCCUGAGAGGGUGACCGGCCACACUGGGACUGAGACACGGCCCAGACUCCUACGGGAGGCAGCAGUGGGGAAUAUUGCACAAUGGGCGCAAGCCUGAUGCAGCAACGCCGCGUGAGGGAUGACGGCCUUCGGGUUGUAAACCUCUUUUACCAGGGAAGAAGCGAAAGUGACGGUACCUGCAGAAAAAGCGCCGGCUAACUACGUG
rnacentral:rRNA from 1 species